AAGUCGUAACAAGGUUUCCGUAGGUGAACCUGCGGAAGGAUCAUUACUGAUUUGGCGGACCGAGCGUCAGCGAGGUUCCGCGAUCACCUGUAUUUAAAACCCACACUUUGAACGUAAUAUGUAUAUUUUUGUAUUUUUUAAUAAUAAAAAAGAUCACUUUCAACAACGGAUCUCUUGGCUCUC
rnacentral:misc_RNA from 1 species